AAUAUUGGACAAUGGGCGAAAGCCUGAUCCAGCCAUGCCGCGUGUGUGAAGAAGGUCAUCGGAUUGUAAAGCACUUUAAGUUGGGAGGAAGGGGUUGAAGCUAAUACCUUCAAUCUUUUACGUUACCAACAGACUAAGCACCGGCCAACUCUGUUCCAGCAGCCGCGGUAAUACAGAGGGUGCAAGCGUUAAUCGGAAAUACUGGGCGUACAGCUCGCGUAGGUGGUUCAGUAAGAUGGAAGUGAAAUCCCCGGGCUUAACCUGGGAACUGCUUUCAUAACUGCUGAGCUAGAGUACGGUAGAGGGUAGUGGAAUUUCCUGUGUAGCGGUGAAAUGCGUAGAUAUAGGAAGGAACACCAGUGGCGAAGGCGACUACCUGGACUAAUACUGACACUGAGGUGCGAAAGCGUGGGGAGCAAAC
rnacentral:rRNA from 1 species